GUGCUUUUAUUGCAAACCAAAUACAUCGCGUAUCACAUAAUAUAUUAAAACACCAUAACCAGUACAAGGAUAUCCCAUUCCUCAUGGUCCCAAAUUAAAAUUGCAGAUAAUAAAAUCAAAACAAUGCGACGAAAACCCCCAAAUCAACCGUUAAAAACUUACAUCCUGGCGGAACUCAGAGAGCGAGAACAAGACCCGGAACCGACUUACCCACCCGAUUAGGUAAACUACUCUCCCAAAGAGAAGGGCAAUGCCGUGUAGCAGCAAUGGAAGACAAAUCCGAUGAAGGGCAAUUAUUAUUAUUAUUACUAUUGUCAAGUCGAGUGACUGUGAGAGAGGUAUUGAAAUACUCCCUAACCUGAGUAAUUAUCCCAUCAUCAACAGUCCAAGCGUGAACCCAAGUAAUUGAGUGAUCAGGAUCGCAACCUUCGACAAGGACAGUAGAUCCAAAGGCGUCAACACUUUGAGGAAUGAAUUUGAAGAAAUAGUGAUCGGAGUUGGCAGUACCAGUUAGUAUGCGCAUCAAAAAUUGAUGUGAAGGUGGACCAUGGAACCACCACUCAAGGUCAGAGGCCAGAAGUUUCUGGACCUUGUCAACGUCACGUGAGCUCAAAGCUUCAUAUAGGGCGAGCACCACCCCUUUAUUUCUAGUUUCUUCCAGAAUUUCCUGAGAAUUAGCCAGUUGAGGAGAUAUUUAUAUACAAAACUAUUAAUGUGAUGCUGGUCACGUGAGC
rnacentral:misc_RNA from 1 species